ACUAUUUUGACAGAAAAAUGUGAUGAUUUUAGAAGUCAUAAAUAUAUAGUUAUAUUAUAUAAAUAGUA
rnacentral:tRNA from 1 species